rnacentral:tmRNA from 1 species
GGAUAAGCGUGGCGUGCCGAGCAAUCACGAAAAAGGCUCAACCUUAAAAUUAAACGCUGACGAAAACGUCGCACUGGCUGCCUAAUUAGGCGGUGCCGCGGCUCUUUAGCCGCCCGUUCCCCCGGGGAGUACCACGGCCCCGGCCGGAGCGUCAUGCAGUGGUGAACAUGCACCGAGACUUCGCACUUGCAUCGGUCAUGCAAAAAAGGGCUACCUGCGGAUGGAGAUUGUCUGUGACCGCCAUCCAAGGGGAAUUCUAAACCACAGACUGCCCACGAAGAAGGUCCCGUGAACGGGUUUUCGGACAGGGGUUCAAUUCCCCUCGGAUCCACCA